CAGAAUCUCACUCUGUCACCCAGACUGGAGUGCAGUGGCAAGAUCUCAGCUCACUGCAACCUCCGCCUCCUGGCUUCAAGCGAUUAUCCUGCCUCAGCCUCCCAAGUAGCUGGGAUUACAAGCAUGUACCACUACACCCAGAUAAGUUUUUUUGUAUUUUUAGUAGAAACUGGACUUCACCUUAUUGGCCAGGCUGGUCUCGAACACUUGACCCCAAGUGAUUCACCUACCUUAGCCUCCCAAAGUGUUGGGAUUACAGGCAUGAGCCACUGUGCCCAGACUAAAAUGCCAUCCAUUUUAAAACAAACUGUUGUUUUAUUCAAAACUAAGAAAAUAAUUUGCUGCUAGACUGUGGAACACAUCUUUAUUACCACUUAUAAUCUUUUUAUGCUUAGUCAAAGAGCUAUUUGAUGUAGACAUAAGUUUUUAAAAAUUAUUAUUGUAUAUUAUUCUUUUGUAUAUAUUAAAUGAAAAAUAUAUGGAAAGUACGUUAGUUAAUGUGUUCUUAAAAUAUCUUCACAUUCAAAAUUUCUCUCUUUUAAAUCAAGUUGGGACCCAAAGGCAUCAAUAUCAGGGGUCCUCCCCCUGUGCCCCUGAAAAAUAAUCCCCUGUUCCAUCAAGGUUCUCGCUGCAAUAUUUCUGCAAUGAGUCCACACUGUCAUCUCUUAUUUCAAGACUAGUUAAAAUGCUAGUUAAAAUGGCACUUUUUUAUCUUGGCAGAAUGUAUUGACAAUAACACGUAUUUCCUGACUACUAUCUAGGGAACAGAGACUGUAUAAGUCCUGAUUUAAUAAAUGUUAUAUAUUUCUAAUUCAUUAUUUUCCUCUUUAUUUUUAUCAUCUUGAGGAGUUUGGAGAAUGAAAUAACUUCUUAAGAAACAUCUUAAACAAGUCAGUUCAAGACUAUCUCUGAAACCAGAAGACUUAAAUACAUUCCUGAGAGACUCUCAUGAAGACGGAAUUAAAAUGCUCCCUAACUGCUGAUACCUUAUGGGAAUUCCAGGGAAGUAGAUGCAGGUGGCAUUUGUCAUCAGGUCAUGGAUACAAAAGUAAAAGUCAGGGCUGUCCCAAUGACUAAAAGACACCAUACGAGCAUACAGAGAUGGAAUUUGCAGAAGCAUUGGCAUCCUCCUUGUUUGAUUAGCACCUGGAAGAUUUUCAAAAUAG
rnacentral:lncRNA from 1 species